rnacentral:rRNA from 1 species
AACGAACGCUGGCGGCAUGCCUAACACAUGCAAGUCGAACGAGCCCUUCGGGUCUAGUGGCGCCCGGGUGCGUAACGCGUGGGAACCUGCCCUUAGGUUCGGACUAACUCCCCGAAAGGGGUGCUAAUACCGGAUCAUGUCUUCGGCCCAAAGAUUUAUCGCCCUUGGAUGGGCCCGCGUUGUAUUAGCUCGUUGGUAGGGUAAAAGCCUACCAAGGCGACGAUCCAUAGCUGGUCUGAGAGGAUGAUCAGCCACACUGGGACUGAGACACGGCCCAGACUCCUACGGGAGGCAGCAGUGGGGAAUAUUGGACAAUGGGCUAAAGCCUGAUCCUGCAAUGCCGGGUGAGUGAUGAAGGCCUUAGGGUUGUAAAGCUCUUUUACCCGGGAUGAUAAUGACAGUACCGGGAGAAUAAGCUCCGGCUAACUCCGUG